rnacentral:rRNA from 1 species
UACGGAGGAGGCAAGCGUUAUCCGGAAUUAUUGAGCGUAAAGCGUCCGCAGGUGGCACCUCAAGUCUGCUGUCAAAGACCGGGGCUUAACCCCAGAAAGGCAGUGGAAACUGAAGUGCUAGAGUGCAGUAGGGGUAGAGGGAAUUCCCGGUGUAGCGGUGAAAUGCGUAGAGAUCGGGAAGAACAUCGGUGGCGAAAGCGCUCUGCUGGACUGCAACUGACACUCAGGGACGAAAGCUAGGGGAGCGAAUGGG